rnacentral:sRNA from 1 species
UGAGAGGUGCCCUCUGAGCUACCAACAAGGAAGCGAGAGUAACUGAAUGGAGUACGGAAGGAACAGAAAGCAGGCUUUGAGCACAGGAAGCUUGGAAACAUGACUGUGACGGUGAAGAAGACUGUCCCCUCUCCUGAGGCUGUGCAGAUCCUCUACCAGCGGAUGAGAUAUGAGUACGAGUUUUACCACUACGUCAAAGAGCAGUUCCACCUGCUGAAGCGCAAGUUUGGACUUAAGUCUCACGUCAGCAAGCCCCCCCUGAGGCCACACUUCUUUAUCCCAACUCCACUGGAAACCGAGGAGCCAAUCGACGAUGAAGAACAGGAUGAUGAAAAGUGGCUGGAAGAUAUUUAUAAGAGGUGAUGUGACUGUGUUGCCUCUAUGGCUUUAUCUCCCUUUUCCAGAAAGUUCUUUGUUUGGGGAAGUAAAAUCCUUAAGGGACUAAAUUAAUGCUUGGGUGCAUUAAAAAGAACAAAACAUUCCCACAUGUUGGGGUC